rnacentral:lncRNA from 1 species
CUCAUCUCUGUGCCUGGGACAUCCUAACCUAAUCUGCUUUUUCUGCCUAAGUAGUGCCCACCAACAGCUGGCAAAAACCGUGUCCGUGACUAGUGAGAAGCCAGAGGGACUGAGGUUUUGGCAUGGAUUGAGAAAGAGCUGGCAGCCUUCCUCCUACUCCUUCCACCUGGCUUCCUCAGCAAGAUGGGCACACUCGAAGAGCUGGCAGAGGCAGGCUCCCCUUCUCUUCAGGAAACAGAUGCCUCUUGGCUGGAACACGGCCAUCACCCUCGUGUGGCUUCUGAACCCAGAGCGCAGAAGGCUGGGGUGUUAGAAUGCCAGCGCCUGCUUCCAGCGAAACCACACCACCAGCUGGUAAGGAUCCCUGUUUCCCAUCCUCUGAGGUUCCCAGCCCAGCAUUUCUCUGCCCUGAGGAACAGUGGUUCUGCAAGAGACUCUGGGAUGGAGGUGGCCAUGCUCAGAAACGUGGGGAGGUGUGCAAACUGUAUUUCCCUCCUGGAGACGUUUGUGGCCAGUAGGCACCAUAAAACCCCCCGAA